rnacentral:rRNA from 1 species
AAUGGAGGAAACUCUGAUGCAGCAAUACCACGUGAGUGAGGAAGGUCUUCGGAUUGUAAAGCUCUGUCCUAUAGGAAGAAGGCUUUGGGUAACGCCAAAGUUUGACGGUACUAUAGAAGAAAGCACCGGCUAACUCCGUGCCAGCAGCCGCGGUAAUACGGAGGGUGCAAGCGUUGUUCGGAUUUACUGGGCGUAAAGCGCGCGCAGGCGGACAUUCAAGUCAGAUGUGAAAUCCCAGGGCUUAACCCUGGGACUGCGUCUGAAACUGAUUGUCUAGAGUCUCACAGGGGGUAGGGAAAUUUCACGUGUAGGGGUAAAAUCCGUAGAGAUGUGAAGGAACGCCGGUGGCGAAGGCGCCUACCUGGAUGAGUACUGACGCUGAGGCGCGAAAGCGUGGGGAGC